rfam:Camelus ferus unplaced genomic scaffold scaffold812, whole genome shotgun sequence.
GAGGGUAUAGCUCAAGUGGCAGAUUGCAUGUUUAGCAUGCAUGAGGUCUGGGGUUCAAUCCCCAGUGCCUCCA